GCUGCAGUGGCCAAUCAGAGGGCUGGAAGAGCCUCUACCUGAGAAGGUAUCAGCCGUGUGUGUGCGGAUCUGUGAAGCUGCUGAGAGAGUGUGUGUGUGUGUGCAGUCUCUCGGACCACUCUCACCCCGAAAAAUCCCUCUUAAUACCGAAUAACAGCCCAGAGCGCACUGAUUAUGGAGAUUAAAUGUGUUCUCGUGCUCUGUUGCGCCUGCCUGUGCGCGUUCACCGGCGCGCAGACACACAAAGAGAAGAUUUUCGCGAAAGUUGUGGAUCUGGUGUCUCCAGGUGAGGAGUACCUGUCUGAAGAUGCGCUGGUGUCGGUGUUUGAGCGGCUGGAGAACCGUGUGCAGUGCUCCGGUGUGUCGUGUGGAAAGUGUCUAUCAGUGGAGGAUCUGCAGCAGGUCUUGAGGAACUACAACAGUUCUCAGGGUGUCCAGUUGCAGGAUUUCUUCACGUUGACUCAUGCAUGCUGUUUAUUUCUGAGCGAUCCGAUCGAGACCUGUAAAGCCAUACGAGAUGGCCGAUGGGGAACAGAGACGCAAAACUUCAUCGAAUACCUCUAUGGCCACAAUCACGAUCAUAACUUCACCACCGAUUAUCCUCCUCAUGGAGACCUCACUGAAUAUGAGGGUGUGGAGAAGAUGUUUUACGAUAUGGAGGAGCACUAUCAGCCUGACACUCAGCAGGUUAGAACAACUGCUUUGUUAAUAUUAUUAUACACCGUUAGCAAAACUGUAAUAACACAGUGA
rnacentral:lncRNA from 1 species